GACGAACGCUGGCGGCGUGCUUAACACAUGCAAGUCGAGCGGUAAGGCUCCUUCGGGAGUACACGAGCGGCGAACGGGUGGGUAACACGUGAGUAAUCUGCCCUUCACUUCGGGAUAACCACCGGAAACGGUGGCUAAUACCGAAUACGACCAGUCUUCGCAUGAGGUGCUGGUGGAAAGUCUUUUCGGUGAAGGAUGUGCUCGCGGCCUAUCAGCUUGUUGGUGGGGUAAUGGCCUACCAAGGCUUCGACGGGUAGCCGGCCUGAGAGGGUGACCGGCCACACUGGGACUGAGACACGGCCCAGACUCCUACGGGAGGCAGCAGUGGGGAAUAUUGGACAAUGGGCGAAAGCCUGAUCCAGCAACGCCGCGUGAGGGAUGACGGCCUUCGGGUUGUAAACCUCUUUCAGUACCGACGAAGCGCCCUGUCGGGUGGUGACGGUAGGUACAGAAGAAGGACCGGCCAACUACGUG
rnacentral:rRNA from 1 species